UUUACACCUGCUACGUAAGAGACAGAAGAAUGUGUGAUCAGGGGGGGCACAUAGCGAGAAAUUUGUGUUUUAUGCAGUCAAGUAUGCUUUUACUUUGAAACAACAACUACUAAAAUAGGACGUACCCGACCGCAUGGACAACCGCUCUGUAGAGAUGAGAUGACUUGGACUCUAAAUAGUCCUCAAAUAAUAGACAUGUAAUAUACAACAGCUGAAAAAAUUGUUAUUAAAGUGAUGUGAAUAACUGAUGGUUAGUACAUGAUAGGCAGUCAUUACCAUCAUGGGGGCUUUGGUUUUAUUCUGGUUACAACAUUCGGCCCAGAUGACGUGUAGUUCGUUUAAUGAUUUGAAAAGGACAUCCUGAAUAAGCACUUAACCGCUCGGCACUAGGGAUGGAUGGAGUUUCUAUGUCUGGCUGACGCCCAGCUCAGUUGCAUUCUAGGUGGUUGUCGGUAUGACUUAAUGAUCAACCGUUAUAUUGGUUAAACAUGAUGAUUCUGAGAAUGGUUUCGCAAUCUACGCUGACAUUUGUGAUGUCAUGUUUCUCUUGGCUAUCUGAUUUAACCGCUGUUCACACUAGACACCAUUUUAAGUUGGACUGUUACAUUGUUAUACAAAAGGUAAUGUAAACUCUUUUAUCCAUCUCAAACACAGCAUGCUCCAGAAGAGGCUUGCUUCCCACGUUCUGCCCUGUGUGAAGAAGAGAUGGCGAACUCCUACUGAGAAUGAUGGAUACAUUCUGUCGCAGAACUCCAAUCCAUUGAUGACCAAAGUUAUACUUGGAUACUGGACAAGAUGACGUCCCAAUGGUGUGCAUCUGAAACUGCAUCCGUUGAUGCGUGCUCAGUCUCCCAGAGAGACUUGCCUCCAGUGUCCUGCCCUGAGGGAAGAAGAUAUGGCUGGAUCCCAAUGAGAUGGCGAACUCCUACAGAAAGUGGGAUGGAAGAUGGAUACAUUCUGUUGCAAGGCUCCAACCCCCUUGAUAUUUGGUCCAGCUGCCUGAUGGCAAUCUACUUGGCGGUCUUGCUGCCGUUGUGGCAAUGCGAAUGUUUGACUGGGUUUGCAAUGUUGAGGUGCCGAGACAACAGAUGACACCAGGAUUACUUGAGGACAUUGACAGGACUUGAGGAUGAUGCCGAUGCUUGUUGAAGAGCUUCCGUCGUGAAAAGAGCUGUUCGCCAAGGAGGCAUUCCAUUGUGUGGACUGUGUAUCCAUGGCUGUAUUUUGUGCCAAUGGCAAAUUAACUUUGAUUUGAUCUCCUAAAGGCGCCAAGAGUCAAGUCAUGUAGGUGGUAUUCCUCUUGACGUUGUCCUUGGACUCCCUUCUACUACAGUCCCCCCCCCCCCCCCCCCCCCUAAGUAAAGUACUUUGACAACUGCUGAUGUAAAAACAAAAAGUUUCUGAUAAUAAACUUUUAAAUUGCCACCAAUAAAAAGUAAUUUGAUUGCAGCAUUUGAAUAAAGAAUGAACGGUCAUCCUUGCACUAUUUUGUGAGGGCAUAUAUUUUACGGGGGGGGGGGGGGGGGGGGGGGACGACGAAGACGACAUGUACAAAGGAAUGCAUACAGAGAUUUCCACCCUCAGUUCCCAUCUGCCUACAUCCCGUUUCCUUCAUAUGUGGGAUCUGCAGUUAAGUGUCUGGGGUGAAGUUACUAAACUUGUUUUGGCGUGCAUGGAAUUACAUGCUUUGCGUCUCUUAGUGAUCGUUGCUUGAAUCUCAUGAUUAGUGCUGGCAGGCAGCAAUGCUGUGAUUUCAUUUUUGUUGUAGCAACCACCUACGUUUAAACGAGUCGAUACAGUUCAUAUUAGACGUUAUAACGGACUUAUCAACAGCGAGAAUGGACGGUACUAGUCAAGUAACAAAUGUGCCCGACUGGUGGUCUCGAAAGUGACCUUAUCAAUAUGCAACCCGUUUUAUAUUUUAAUUUAACGGUUGCUUUCUAAGUGGUUUUGAGGUCAACGUCUGAGCGUUUCACAUAGACACUGCAGCUAUAUGGAACAUGUGUAUUAGGUUCCUGAAUAGCCCUUACUAUAGACUGGUUUUCACACGAUAUUUAAGGAAUAGCCCAUACUAUAGACUGGUUUUCACACAAGAUAUUAAUGGAAUAACCCAUACUAUAGACUGGUUUUCACACGAUAUUUAAGGAAUAGCCCUUACUAUAGACUGGUUUUCACACAAGGUACAGUAGACACCAUUAUUUAAGCGGAGGAUAUAAUGUGCUCGGACUAAACCAUAUUGAAACAGAUGAGCAAUUAACUUGGCCCGUGUCUUUUGUUCCUGUCAUCUCGGAAAUACGUGAACUGUUUCCGGUUUCAGGUGCGUUCUAUUGUAACUAGCUAGGUUUGCACAUAACCAGUAUGCGACUUUUCCCCGUUUCGACGUUAAAGGUUUCCUAGACACUUAGCUAAUGUCAUAUGAACACCUGUAAACUGUCCCAGUCGAUUUGUUGGAUGAUUCCACGACGUUAAGAUACACAUUUGAAUUGUCAAGCGAACGAAAGCCUUUUAUACGUGGUCUUUGCUAACUAGCCUAGCCUCAAACUGUCUAAAAGAGACCAAGGUGAGUGUCGCUUUUUCAACUCACGACUUGAUUUGUGACAACUGAAUAACUUGAUUUAACAAGACUAGUUGUCAAACUUUUGCCAUAAUUUUUUUUUUGUGUGUGUGCAAACAUAACUAUACCAGGCUAAUGUCAGAAAAAGUAGCAAGUUAUAGUAGUUAGUUGGUUAGCGGUGAAUUUGUGAACUAAUUUAGCUAACUAAUUAUCUUAGGAAGAGCUAUAACUUAUAAUUUAUCGACUCAUAUUGUAAUGUUUCCCCUCCCCAGACCAAGAAGUGGAAAAGAGACUACACACAGUUAAAUUUGAAGAUGAAAUAUUUGUUCUGCUUUUCGUUAGGCUGAGGAACUCCAGAAAAACAUUCGUUGUCAAGAGUUGGAAGAUUUGCUUGUUGCAUUCCUCGACUAAACAAUAGUCUUUACCCUGCAAUGUUAGCUGCCCAUGUACUUUUAGAAAGAACCGUAACAUAUUAUACAUACUUGGCUAAGUAUAUUUCUGUAGACUAGGCCUACUAAACUAGCCAUUAGCUAAUGUCCGUAAUUCGUCCGGAUAUUAGGGAUUCUAAACUAUUUCUAUCACUUCAAAACCAAAGGUAAUCUUUUGGUAUGGUUUAUUUGUUUGACGUUAGUGUUAUAAGAGUAAAAGUAGGUGAAGAAAGGUGAAAGUCUUGGGGACGACAUGUAGCUAGUGAGUACCCUCAUUGGAAUUUUCCCUUGGGCGUUGGUGGUUGGUUUCGAUUUAACACUAUUAGGUGUGUCAUGUGACUCGUCCUGUGGUACACACUUUCCCUCAUCAUUCCCAGUGAUCUCACGGCAAGGAGAGUUAAUUUGACUUAUCUAAUGUACUAUAGCUAGGCUAUAGUCUAACAAACCCUCCUACAAAAUCUUAAAACGGAAAUAAAUAGACAGAAUUAAGGGC
rnacentral:lncRNA from 1 species